GACAGCCAGGAUGUUGGCUUAGAAGCAGCCAUCAUUUAAAGAAAGCGUAAUAGCUCACUGGUCGAGUCGGCCUGCGCGGAAGAUGUAACGGGGCUAAACCAUGCACCGAAGCUGCGGCAGCGACACUGUGUGUUGUUGGGUAGGGGAGCGUUCUGUAAGCCUGUGAAGGUGUGUCGUGAGGCAUGCUGGAGGUAUCAGAAGUGCGAAUGCUGACAUAAGUAACGAUAAAGCGGGUGAAAAGCCCGCUCGCCGGAAGAC
rnacentral:rRNA from 1 species